AGUUGGUUCUACCCGACGACGCUGCGCUAACCCUUCGGGGAGGCAGGCGGCCACGGUAGGAUCAGCGACUGGGGUGAAGUCGUAACAAGGUAGCCGUAGGGGAACCUGCGGCUGGAUCACCUCCUUUCUAAGGAUGAUCUUAGCAGCAAGACUUUUGUCUUACUCGUAGAUCACUUAGCAUGAUAUGUCCUUUGCAUAUCAAAACAUCAGUCCAUCUUUUGAUGGGCUUGGGCCGAGCCGUCCUCAUAUCUCUUCAGAAAUUGCAAGCCUUUGGCUUGUAUCAGCCGCCUGAUUGGACCACCACCGGCCCUUUCGGCAGACUUGUUUUGCAAGUCACCUGUCGGGCGUUGUCGAUCUUGUUACGCAAGAUCCACUGGGUCGGUAGCUCAGGUGGUUAGAGCGCACGCCUGAUAAGCGUGAGGUCGGAGGUUCAAGUCCUCCUCGACCCACCAUAUAUUACACCCUUAAAGGGGGCGUUAGCUCAGCUGGGAGAGCACCUGCUUUGCAAGCAGGGGGUCAUCGGUUCGAUCCCGAUACGCUCCACCAAGGACUUAAGUUUGAAAGUUAAGCAACUUGUGUUGUUUUGCUGUCCAACUUGGACAUUGAUCAGCCUUUGGGCUGACUUGACAUCGUAAAGAGAGAUACAAACAUCAGAAUUACUGAUGCGCCAAGUACGGUGUAUCGUGAUGUUGUUUGGCAUCGUGUAAGGGGGGUAGGAUUUAUCUUAUUCUUUUGUCGCGCUGCCUUUUAUAGCAACAGUUCACAAAGUAAUUUUGUUCCAAGUUAAGUACAAUUAUACCUGAGUAAUUCCGCAAGGUUUUACUCAUCGUCGCUGCUCUAUCCGGGCAGUGGCGGCACGAAUGUUGCCCCCUCUUUGAACCAGCGGGGGCCCAUGGGAAUAAUUUUGUAUGACUUUUGGUUCAGAAUUUAGUCAUCUUCGGAUGAUGUUGGCAGGACAUGCAAAAGGCCUGUCUUCUUCUGGAUCAAAUCAAGCGCGAAAAGGGCGUUUGGUGAAUGCCUUGGCAGUAAGAGGCGAUGAAGGACGUGAUACUCUGCGAUAAGUUAUGGGGAGCUGAGAAUAAGCUUUGAUCCAUAAAUUU
rnacentral:misc_RNA from 1 species